rnacentral:misc_RNA from 1 species
GAUGAAGAACGUAGCGAAAUGCGAUAAGUAAUGUGAAUUGCAGAAUUCAGUGAAUCAUCGAAUCUUUGAACGCACAUUGCGCCCCUUGGUAUUCCGAGGGGCAUGCCUGCUCGAGUGUCAUUAUAACCCCUCAAGCUCAGCUUGGUGUUGGGGCCUGCUGCACUGGCAGCCCUUAAAAUCAGUGGCGGCGCCAUCUGGCUCUAAGCGUAGUAAUUCUUCUCGCUAUGGAGUCCUGGUGGAUGCUUGCCAUCAACCCCCAAUUUUUCUAUGGUUGACCUCGGAUCAGGUAGGGAUACCCGCUGAACUUAAGCAUAUCAAUAAGCGGAGGA